UCUUGAUUCGGGCUUCUUAUAUGAAUUAUGUAAUAAACCAUGCCUACCUCAACUUUUAAACUCUCUCAUAUUUGGUUUUUAAUCAGACCUAAACAAUAUGUGAAAGUCAUACUAAUUAUAUACUUUCUUUGUUUAAGGAGGUAUAUGUGAGCCUUUAUUUGUGCAUGUGCUUUCCCCAAAAUAUGCAAUAUCUGUCGCCCUAGAUUUUUACCUUUGAAACUUGAAAUAAGCCUAAUAUCCCUCCCUUUUUAGGAUUAGUAGUUCUAGGUACCCCUGGGACUGAUAGGAGUAGGAUGGGUAAUAGCAUGCAAUAAGCAAUCGAGACCAAUCCGUGCUUUAAAAACGUCAACAGGGUAGGAAGGGUAGAUAUGGAUAUGAUGACCACACGAUAAUGUCACGUGUAGACCCUUAUUGAGGAGUGAUUAUCGGUCAUUGUGUGGGAUGAUCCGUAUUUUUAAUAAAACUAGGACCCCCUUUCCAUUUAUUCUUUACUUCUUUUCAGUAUUUUUCAAUCAGUUUUUCUAAAUUGCUCUUUCAAAUAUUGUUUACUCCCAAACAAUUACGUAUUGAAAUCCCCUCUUAUUUGAGCGUUAUUUUUUUUCACGAGAAACAAGGCAGAAUAGCUGGAAGAAAAAUAUAUAUAGCUAGGGUUUGUUCAUUCAGUCAUAUUUUGAGUUGGGGAGCUCGGAUUUGGGCGAUUUUGG
rnacentral:lncRNA from 1 species